rnacentral:rRNA from 1 species
AUUGAACGCUGGCGGCAGGCCUAACACAUGCAAGUCGAGCGGAGCGGCGGACGGGUGAGUAAUGCCUAGGAAUCUGCCUGGUAGUGGGGGAUAACGUCCGGAAACGGGCGCUAAUACCGCAUACUAUCAGAUGAGCCUAGGUCGGAUUAGCUAGUUGGUGGGGUAAAGGCCUACCAGGGCGACGAUCCGUAACUGGUCUGAGAGGAUGGUCAGUCACACUGGAAGUGAAACACGGUCCAGACUCAACCGGGAGGCAGCGGUGGAGAAUGUAGGACAAUGGGCGAAAGCUUGGUCCAGACAGGCCGCGUGUGGGAAGGGGUUAUUGGGAGUGGAAAGCACAUGAAGUGUGGAGGCGUUACCAACAGAAUAAGCACCGGCUAACUUCGUGCCAGCCGCCGCGGUAAUAC